GGGAACGGCUGGCUACCCACUCUAGUAUUCUCGCCUGGAGAAUUCCAUGGACAGAAGAGACUGGCUGACUACACUCCAUGGGGUUGCAAAGAGUCGGACACGACUGAUUGACUGAACAGCAACAACAGUCUUGAUUGACUAGAGUCUCUGAAACUAAGAGUCAUCUUGAUUUUACUUAAUUGAUGCUGUACUGAUAUAUUGGGCAAAAAUAGUCAAUUUUAACAAAUAAAUCUUAACCGAAUCAGAUUGGGUGCCUUUCAAUUAUAUGGGAUAUUUAUUAUUGUGGGAAAGAUGAUUUGAUUGAAAAAUAUAGUUGAUGUGUUCCAGGUCAUCCGUAUGAGAUUGGAAGUAAAGGAGUGUAAACGCAUGGGCCCAUGAUGAAAUGGCAGACCAGAAGGAAAGAAAAGCACCAGAUGGAAAUGGCUUAAACCAAUAGGGGCUGAUCUUCAUAUGAAAUCGUGUAUGGCGAUGCGUGGCACAGAGUUGAGAAGUAGCAAAUACGAAGUGACAACUACAUUACUGUACAUGGAGUUAUUUACAGACCGAGAUGAUUGGUUUCCUAAUGAUCAUUUCAUAAGGUAAUUUUCUUGGGAUGCAAACUCUGGCCCCCUUGGUUUGCCCUGUCCACGUUUUGCAUUAUGUGUUCUCGGAAUCUUGUAAGACAUCCCAGGUAGAGCUAUAGCCCAUUUGAGUUUGGCAGAUAGCAGUUUUUGAAAUUCGGGGAUUUCCUUUGUGACUUGGGGAGAAAAGCUAAAGAUUUGGACCUGGGGCUUACCACUCAAACAUCUUAAAAGUAGAAGCCACAGGAUACAGUGAAGCUAUCAGAAUAUCCAUUGCCCAAAAACCAAGGACUACAUUGACUCCCAGUUCCAGGACAAGCUCGUAUUCAGCUGUGAAAUAUUUAAGCCGGUUUCUCC
ensembl:lncRNA